GUGGGGUAAUUUUCCGCAAUGGGCGAAAGCCUGACGGAGCAAUGCCGCGUGGAGGUGGAAGGCCUACGGGUCGUCAACUUCUUUUCUCGGAGAAGAAACAAUGACGGUAUCUGAGGAAUAAGCAUCGGCUAACUCUGUGCCCAG
rnacentral:rRNA from 1 species